rnacentral:lncRNA from 1 species
CCUAUCUUGAAACCCCAUUAUUCCAAGACCGAAUUCAUAGCCCGACGUAGCCUUUCCUAAGAAGUUGGAGAAAUUGUUUCUCUGGUAGAAAAGCUUUCAAGACCGUGCUGAGGCUCUGAAUGUUGAUAGUUUUCCAUUACAAUUGACGUGAGUUCCUCAUCAGUAGUGUCAUAAGAGUGACUUCAUGAGAAGUUUCUUGCUGUAUCAGAAUCAGCAGCAUUAGGAGCUGCUUCAUCUCUUUUGCAGGCAGACAUUCAUCUUUAGGAACCAAACAGCUAGGGAGCAUCAUCAUAAACUAACUCAUUGACAAGAAGUGGACUUCCUGACACAUCAGGUAAGUAGAUCUUAGAUUUAUGUUCAUGAAACUGAACUUCA